rnacentral:rRNA from 1 species
GAUGAACGCUGGCGGCGUGCCUAAUACAUGCAAGUCGAGCGAACAGAUGAGGAGCUUGCUCCUCUGACGUUAGCGGCGGACGGGUGAGUAACACGUGGAUAACCUACCUAUAAGACUGGGAUAACUUCGGGAAACCGGAUCUAAUACCGGAUAAUAUAUUGAACCGCAUGGUUCAAUAGUGAAAGACGGUUUUGCUGUCUCUUAUAGAUGGAUCCGCGCCGCAUUAGCUAGUUGGUAAGGUAACGGCUUACCAAGGCAACGAUGCGUAGCCGACCUGAGAGGGUGAUCGGCCACACUGGAACUGAGACACGGUCCAGACUCCUACGGGAGGCAGCAGUAGGGAAUCUUCCGCAAUGGGCGAAAGCCUGACGGAGCAACGCCGCGUGAGUGAUGAAGGUCUUCGGAUCGUAAAACUCUGUUAUUAGGGAAGAACAAAAGUGUAAGUAACCAUGCACGUCUUGACGGUACCUAAUCAGAAAGCCCCGGCUAACUACGUG